GUUGUAUGGUUAAGUGACUAAGCGUACACGGUGGAUGCCUUGGCAGUCAGAGGCGAUGAAGGACGUAGUAACUUGCGAUAAGCGUAGAUGAGGCAGUAACAGCCACUUGAGUCUACGAUUUCCGAAUGGGGAAACCCACUGGCAUAAGCCAGUAUCAUUGAGUGAAUACAUAGCUCAAUGAAGCGAACCGGGAGAACUGAAACAUCUAAGUACCCCGAGGAAAAGAAAUCAACCGAGAUUCCGAAAGUAGCGGCGAGCGAAAUUGGAUUAGCCCUUAAGCUUUACAUGUGUUAGACGAACGGUCUGGAAAGUCCGACGAUACAGGGUGAUAGUCCCGUAGUUGACGAUGCAUGUUCAGUGAAAUCGAGUAGGGCGGGACACGUGUUAUCCUGUCUGAAUAUGGGGGGACCAUCCUCCAAGGCUAAAUACUCCUGACUGACCGAUAGUGAACCAGUACCGUGAGGGAAAGGCGAAAAGAACCCCUGUGAGGGGAGUGAAAUAGAACCUGAAACCGUGUACGUACAAGCAGUAGGAGCACCUUCGUGGUGUGACUGCGUACCUUUUGUAUAAUGGGUCAGCGACUUAUAUUCAGUGGCAAGGUUAACCAUCUAGGGGAGCCGUAGGGAAACCGAGUCUUAACUGGGCGCCAUAGUCUCUGGAUAUAGACCCGAAACCGAGUGAUCUAGCCAUGGGCAGGUUGAAGGUUGAGUAACAUCAACUGGAGGACCGAACCGACUAAUGUUGAAAAAUUAGCGGAUGACUUGUGGCUAGGGGUGAAAGGCCAAUCAAACUCGGAGAUAGCUGGUUCUCCCCGAAAGCUAUUUAGGUAGCGCCUCGGACGAAUACUACUGGGGGUAGAGCACUGUUAAGGCUAGGGGGUCAUCCCGACUUACCAACCCUUUGCAAACUCCGAAUACCAGUAAGUACUAUCCGGGAGACACACGGCGGGUGCUAACGUCCGUCGUGGAGAGGGAAACAACCCAGACCGCCAGCUAAGGUCCCAAAUUACAGCUAAGUGGGAAACGAUGUGGGAAGGCUUAGACAGCUAGGAUGUUGGCUUAGAAGCAGCCAUCAUUUAAAGAAAGCGUAAUAGCUCACUAGUCGAGUCGGCCUGCGCGGAAGAUGUAACGGGGCUAAGUUGUAAACCGAAGCUGCGGCAAUGUUCUUUGAA
rnacentral:rRNA from 1 species